AUACGGAGGAUGCAAGCGUUAUCCGGAUUUAUUGGGUUUAAAGGGUGCGUAGGCGGUUUGCUAAGCGGGAGGUGAAAUGCCGGCGCUCAACGUCGGAAGUGCCUCCCGAACUGGUGGACUUGAAUGACUCUGCCGUGGGAGGAAUGUGUAGUGUAGCGGUGAAAUGCUUAGAGAUUACAAAGAACACCGAGUGCGAAGGCAUCUCACGAAGGGUUGAUUGACGCUGAGGCACGAAAGCGUGGGGAUCAAACAGGAUUAGAGACCCUGGUAGUCCACGCAGUAAACGAUGAUGGCUAACCGCUGGGCUUAUCAGUUCAGUGGCCAAGCGAAAGCGAUAAGCCAUCCACCUGGGGAGUACGACCGCAAGGUUGAAACUCAAAGGAAUUGACGGGG
rnacentral:rRNA from 1 species